CUCCUGCCCCGCGCCGCGCCAUCCGACCUGGGCCCUGGGAUGGUGCAGGGGCGGGGGGGUGCUGGGCCCUGCCACACUGUGUGACCUUGGAUGAGUCACUUCUCCCAGCUGCAGUCCAUGAAGGGUGUCGCUACUGUCAGUGGUGGUGGCAUUGCUCCCACCAGACUCCCAAACCUAAGGCUUACGUUGUGGGCUGCACAUCAGAGAGAAAGGGACCCCCAUGGAUUGUGCCAGUGGAGGCCCAGAGGGAGCAUGGCAUGGCAUACCAAGGUCACAUGGCCGCAUGUCCCCCAUUCAUCCCAAACGAAAUGCCCUCAUCUGGGCCCUAAGACCUAUUGCCAGCCCCAGAGGCCAAAAAGCUUCUGUUUCUGAAGCUGCUGGGGAGGGGCUUAAGCCAGGCCUCACGGGAGGGGGGUGGCAUGCAGGAAACAGAGAAGGAAAGAGAAAGAGAAGUUUUUACUAAGUCCCUGCCCUGUGCUCAGGGUGGGCCUGGACCCCGAGGUUCUUUUUCACCCCACCAGGAAGAUGCUUUUGCUGCUGCCGUUUCACAGACGGGAAAGUGACAACGGCCUGCCUGGACUUGAACACAGACCCAAGGCCCUCUAACUACCGGCCCGCCUCUGCUCCCUAGGCUCAGCCUUCACUAUUGUGUCCCUGGUGCCUAGAACAGAGCCUGGUACACAGAAGGUGCUCAAUGAAUGAUGAGGAAACUGAGGCCCAAAAGAGCUAAGUGCAUCUGCUCCAGGUCACAUGAAAGGACGAGAAGGAAUAACAUCUUUCCAGCCAGACUUACCCCCUUGGGUUUGGCAUAACAGGCCUGGCAAUGUGAGUGCCAUCUUCUGGAUAGAAGAACUGAGGCCCAGAGAAGGGUAGACCUGUGGUCACACAGUAUGCUAAGGUGUUACUCGCACCUUGCAGGCCAGCCCCCAAAGACUCAGCCCCAGCGGGGUCUAGGCCCUCUGGCCUCUGGGGUGGAACAUGCUUGCCACCCUUCCCCACCCUCCACCCCCUGCCGGGGAUGACCCAUCCCUUCUCAGAGCAGGUCCCACCCCGGUGCCAAGCCAGGUGUCCUGCAGGGAAGCUGCAAGCUAGGGUGACGUAAGCCCUUGUUUUUACAAGGCUCUUGCUCAACAGGCCACGCCUGCUGCUCCCCCACCCCCACCCCAGUACUUUUCAGCCUUUCCCCAAGGAGCGGGGAUGGUGGGGGCUUGAACCACCACGGCCCAGAGGCCCAGAGCACGCGAGUGGCUGUGUGGGCCCAGGAAACCAGGAUCCCCCUGGCGCCACCUCUCCCAGUCACCUGCCCUCAGAACCUAGAGCCGGAAAGGGUCUCAAACUGGCAGCCAGUGGCCAAAUCCAGACCACAGAUGUGUUCAGUUUGACCCCAUAGCGUUUUGCUUGAUGUAUGUAUGUUUAAGUGAAUUUAUUGCCAACAUUUAAAAAUCAGGAGAUUUCACAUCAAAAUUCAAAUUUCCAGCUCCUCUUUUAAAACCUGAAGCUGUGGGCUGGGCCCACGUGGCCACAUGGUGGUGGGCAGAAGCCAGGCGGGGGCGGGGAGGGAACAGGCACUUUCCUACCUGGGACACACGUCCUCCUCUGCCCCCAAACUGCUUUCACAAUUCCUCCUCCCCAUCUCUGCAGCUUUUCCCUAUCCCAUUUUCAAGAGGAGAAAACUGAGGCGACUCGCCAAGGGGAGACCCACGUGGCUGCUUUGACAGCCAGUGUUCUGCCAAGGGGCUUAGAACUAGCAGGCGGGAAAAUACGGCAGAAAGGGGAACCAUCAGAACAUGAAUGGGGGACGUCUCUAGUGGGUAUGGGGCAGGGGGAUGGCAGGGGUUGGCCUUUUAUCCUGCCCUGUGCCUUCCAUGCUGUGGCUCUCCGGCCAUGUCUGAUGUCCCCUCUGGGCCUCAUUCCCUGAUAUAUAAAAUGGGGUGACAAUCUUCUAUCUGGGAUUCUGGGCCUGCUGUUCCCCCUCGCUGCUGGCCUUCCCCGACACAUCAGAGUGAAGCAGAUGUCCCUUUCACCCCACAAAGCAGGCAAAUGGGGCAACUGCGGCCCAAAGAGGUGAGUACUUCCUACUUCCCCCUCCAAAUCCCCCUUGUACCCUUGUGAAUGGGUACAAGAGCCAGACUUAAAAGUCAGAUUCCCUGAUUCCAAUGUUUGAGAUUUUCCCCAUCAUGCUUCCUCUCUGAGGCCUCGAUUCCCCCAUCUGCCAAAUGGGGCUGGCAGAGAUAGAUCCCUGAGGGCUGCCAGGCUCUGAGGUGCUGGGAUCCAGGAUUUUGGAGACGGGAGGUGCUCAGGCCUGGUAGUGAAACUUGCCUGAGUAUAUACUGCCCCCAGGUGGUAGAUUCUGGGGCUGCAGGAGCCAUUCACAUGCGUGAAGACCCGCUGGGCGCCCUUAUUCUGGGAUCAGGGGAGGCCAGUGCCAUGGAUGUGACAGAUGCACACAGGGCAUCAGCAGGCUGCCGAGAGGAACCAGAGUGUCCCACGAACAGAAAAUAGUGCUCAACCUUCAUGUAGUCUUUCAUCAGAUGUUCCUUGGCACAUCAUGUAAUUCCGGCCCUAAAGACACAUUCAUGGACAAGACAAGCAAUUUCUGUUCUCAUGGAGCUGAAAUUGUCCUGGGGGCAGACAAGCACUAAA